CCCGAAUUGAAGAGGAGCUAGAACUAAAUUGUUUUUGAUGUGUCAGUAUGAUUAAUAAUUUUGUUUUAGAAAUGAGAUGUUAUUCGUCUUUCAUUGUAUCUGGUUUUUAAGGAAAUGAAUUAAAUUCAUUUAAAGUUUUACUUAUUUUAUUUCUUAAUUUUAAGAAAGCUUUAUUAAGUUAUUAAAGGGAUUAGCUUUUAAUAAGAUUUCUAAAUUUAUUUGGUUAGGUAAAUUUAUAGGAUUAGAAUUGUCUUUUUUUAAAAUGAUUUUAUUAUUGAUUUACUUUAUUUUAUGAUUUUAAUUUUUUUUUAGAUGUUUUACUUAAUUUUUUCUAUUAAUUAAAUUUAGAAAGUAAAAAUGAUUAAAUUAGUAAAUUUUACUGUUUUAGUAAUUGAGAAGGAAAGGUAUUUUAAAGGAAUUAGGCAAAAUAAUUUCUCGCCUGUUUAAUAAAAACAUGUCUUUUUGUAAAUGAUUUAAAGUCUAAUCUGCUCAAUGAUGAAUUAAAUUGCCGCGGUAUUUUGACUGUGCAAAGGUAGCAUAAUAAUUUGUUCUUUGAUUGGGAGCUGGAAUGAAUGAUUGGACGAGGAAAUUACUGUCUCUUAAAUAUUUUAAUUGAAUUUAAUUUUUCAGUAAAAAAGCUGAAAUAAUAAUUAAAGACGAGAAGACCCUAUAGAGUUUAAUAUUUAUUUUUUUAAUUUUAAAUUAGAAUUUAAUUUGUUGAUAAAAAUAAGUAUUUGGUUGGGGUGACUAAAAGAUUUAAUAAACUCUUUUAAUUAAAUAACCAUUGAUAAAUGAUUCUCAAAUCUGUUAUUUUCAAAUUUAAAAUAAAUUACCUUAGGGAUAACAGCGUUAUUUUCCUUUCAAGUUCUUAUUGAAUGGAGAGAUUGCGACCUCGAUGUUGGAUUAAAAUUAAUUUUAGGCGCAGAAGCUUAAGAAUUAAGUCUGUUCGACUUUUAAAAUUUUACAUGAUCUGAGUUUAAACCGGUGUGAGCCAGGUUGGAUUCUAUCUUUAUUAAAAUUUGAUAUUUUAGUACGAGAGGACCAAAUAU
rnacentral:rRNA from 1 species